AAAGCUUUGAAUCAUCAUCUGUUCUUAUCAGUUUAAUAUCUGAUACGUCCCCCAACGGGGGACUACAUAUUAAAUGGAUUUUUCGAACAGGGAGUCGGAAAUGUCGAACAGGGAGUCGAAAACUUGGAAGAGUGGGUUCGGGGACCACCCGCGGGGACCCGGCCUAGAGUGCACAGUGUGUGUCUCGGGCCCCGACCUC